rfam:Danio rerio chromosome 9, GRCz11 reference primary assembly.
GUCAGGAUGGCCGAGCGGUCUAAGGCGCCAGACUCAAGGUUCAUACCUUCCUGUGAAGCGGGAUUUCUGGUCUCCGAAUGGAGGCGUGGGUUCGAAUCCCACUUCUGACA